rnacentral:tRNA from 1 species
AUUUAUAUAGUUUAAUUAAAACCUUACAUUUUCACUGUAAUAAUAGAUUCUGUCUUAUAAAUA